CUCCGUGAGCGGCUAGAGCGGCCUUUGAGCCAAGGGGUGGGUCGGUGGGGGCUGGGAGCUACUAUGGGGAGAGUUCAGCCGCCGUUGGAAGACUGAGUCAAGCACUAUGUGGUCAGUCGGGAUUCGUGGAGAACCUUUGGGGUGACGGCAUAUGGGCGUCUUCGCCCUGUAAGCUCAGUGCUGCCUGGCGGGGACUAGGCCGGGGGGACUAGGCCGGGACGCGCACCUGCAGUGAUUUUCCUGAUUGGGGAAGCUGGGUGAAUGACGGCUAGUAAGGCUUACGGAGUCCCUCGGGAAGGUAACCGCCGCCUGGGAAUCCGGGGCAGGUGGUUUAUCAGGGAGUGCGUCAGGCUGGGGAGGUGAGGGCAGUGCCCGUGAUCUCCGGACUGCAGUCGUUCUCCCCGACGGAGUGGUCUUAGCUGCUGCCUUGCCGAGCAGUUAGUUAAUGGACCGUGUAGCUCACUGGGCUCUGUAGCUGAGGAGCAGUUCCCUCCUCUGUGAAACAGAACGAAUGCCCGUUUCUCGGGACUGUCGGAAAGCGCACAGGAAACACUGAGAACAAACGUGGCUUCAGUGAGAAUAGGAGUAUUAGUAUCAGUAUCUUGGUACCAGCAGUAACUUUGCUGCACAUAGAGGACUCGGCUGAAAGCGAAAGACCGAAGAGGAAUGCAGUGCUCGGUGUUUUUUUAAAAAUGGGGUGGCACUGCGUCCAGGGUAGAGGCACCGGUUCCAAAAUCCUUUCUCCUCGGCAACUUCCUCCCUUGUCUCCGCGCUGGAAAGGCUUGACCGAUGAAAAGCCAAGCGGCAGUUAAUUUUCUCCGUGGGAAUUAUGCUGUGGGAAAAGCAACACUGACCUAAACGCUCUUAUUCCCUUCCGUGUGUACCUUCUCCCUUCGCUGACGUCGAACAAGAAUACAGGAAGCUUAACCAAAAGAUAACUUUGCAUAGUCUUGCCCUUAAGUGGGAAUUGUGAACGAUGGUGGCUACCUGAAGCAUUACAGUCUUCUUUAGAAUCAACAGAAUCAUUCAAGUUUGUAUGACUUAAAUUCCAAAUUGGCUGAAAAACCUGGUAUUAAUUGAUUUAAUAGGUAGAUGAUGAAAUAGGAUUAUUAUUAUAUUACAGAUGACUAUUAACUAUCUGGAUUACAACUAAGACCUGAAAGAGAUCACAAGUAGACAGAGAGGCAGGCAGAGAGAGAGAGAGAGAGAGAGAGAGAAGCAGGCCCCCCGCCGAGCAGAAAGCCCGAUGCAGGGCUCGAUCCCAGGACUCUGGAAUCAUGACCUGAGCUGAAGGCAGAGGACUUAACCUAUUGAGCCACCCAGGCACCCCAAGAAAGGACGUUUAAAAGAGAAGGUGUGUUACGGUGUCUGGUGCCAGCCAGCGGACUUCUCUUCCAUAUUACAGCUCUUCUGGGAGAAGCCACUGGGAGGAGCCAUCAUCUCCAGGCUUAAUAAAGCAGUAUCUUCCAGGUGGAAGCAAGAGGACGUUAAUUCCCAUGCCACGAAUGCUCUUGUCACUGGAUAAAGCCCAAAUCGCCAGAAUGCGGCCUUCUGUGUUUAUGUGACUUACGGAUUUUUGAUACCUUUGAAUCCCCAGAUAAGCAUGCAAUUUCCAGAUGUAAACAAUCCUUAAAUGAUAGUUUUCUCCAAGCAUACUGCAAACAUACCUGUUCCUCUCUUGUGUUUAUGAAAACGAGAUGUGAAGACUUGUCUUCACAGAA